GGGGCGUAGCAAUACGCUCGCUGGCGACCGGCAAACGGGUGCGGAACACGUACACAACCUUCCUUGAAGUGGGGAAUAGCCCGGGGAAACCCGGAUUAAUACCCCGUAAUAUAAUGAAGCGGCAUCGUUUUAUUAUUAAAGCUCCGGCGCUUUAAGAUGGGUGUGCGACUGAUUAGGCAGUUGGCGGGGUAACGGCCCACCAAACCUACGAUCAGUAACUGGUGUGAGAGCACGACCAGUCACACGGGCACUGAGACACGGGCCCGACUCCUACGGGAGGCAGCAGUAAGGAAUAUUGGUCAAUGGACGCAAGUCUGAACCAGCCAUGCCGCGUGGAGGAUGAAGGUCCUCUGGAUUGUAAACUUCUUUUAUCUGGGAAGAAACCCAUGAAUUCUUUUGUGGUUGACGGUACCAGAUGAAUAAGCACCGGCUAACUCCGUGCCAGCAGCCGCGGUAAUACGGAGGGUGCAAGCGUUAUCCGGAUUCACUGGGUUUAAAGGGUGCGUAGGUGGGUUGGUAAGUCAGUGGUGAAAUCUCCAGGCUUAACUUGGAAACUGCCAUUGAUACUAUCAAUCUUGAAUACCGUGGAGGUCAGCGGAAUAUGUCAUGUAGCGGUGAAAUGCUUAGAUAUGACAUAGAACACCAAUUGCGAAGGCAGCUGGCUACGCGGAUAUUGACACUGAUGCACGAAAGCGUGGGGAUCAAACAGGAUUAGAUACCCUGGUAGUCCACGCCCUAAACGAUGGAUACUCGACAUACGCGAUAUACUGUGUGUGUCUGAGCGAAAGCAUUAAGUAUCCCACCUGGGAAGUACGAUCGCAAGAUUGAAACUC
rnacentral:rRNA from 1 species